rnacentral:rRNA from 1 species
GGAGGGUGCAAGCGUUAUCCGGAUUCACUGGGUUUAAAGGGUGCGUAGGUGGGUCGGUAAGUCAGUGGCGAAAUCUCCGAGCUUAACUUGGAAACUGCCAUUGAUACUAUCAGUCUUGAAUAUUGUGGAGGUUAGCGGAAUAUGUCAUGUAGCGGUGAAAUGCUUAGAUAUGACAUAGAACACCAAUUGCGAAGGCAGCUGGCUACACAUAUAUUGACACUGAGGCACGAAAGCGUGGGGAUCAAACAGGAUUAGAUACCCUGGUAGUCCACGCCCUAAACUAUGGAUACUCGACAUAUGCGAUACACUGUAUGUGUCUGAGCGAAAGCAUUAAGUAUCCCACCUGGAAGUACGAUCGCAAGAUU